rnacentral:rRNA from 1 species
UACGUAGGUGGCAAGCGUUAUCCGGAAUUAUUGGGCGUAAAGAGCGCGCAGGUGGUUAAUUAAGUCUGAUGUGAAAGCCCACGGCUUAACCGUGGAGGGUCAUUGGAAACUGGUUGACUUGAGUGCAGAAGAGGGAAGUGGAAUUCCAUGUGUAGCGGUGAAAUGCGUAGAGAUAUGGAGGAACACCAGUGGCGAAGGCGGCUUCCUGGUCUGCAACUGACACUGAGGCGCGAAAGUGUGGGGAGCAAACAGG